UGGUUCUCCCCGAAAGCUAUUUAGGUAGCGCCUCGUGAAUUCAUCUCCGGGGGUAGAGCACUGUUUCGGCUAGGGGGCCAUCCCGGCUUACCAACCCGAUGCAAACUGCGAAUACCGGAGAAUGUUAUCACGGGAGACACACGGCGGGUGCUAACGUCCGUCGUGAAGAGGGAAACAACCCAGACCGCCAGCUAAGGUCCCAAAGUCAUGGUUAAGUGGGAAACGAUGUGGGAAGGCCCAGACAGCCAGGAUGUUGGCUUAGAAGCAGCCAUCAUUUAAAGAAAGCGUAAUAGCUCACUGGUCGAGUCGGCCUGCGCGGAAGAUGUAACGGGGCUAAACCAUGCACCGAAGCUGCGGCAGCGAACGUAUCACCCAAGACAACUUUACGGAGUUGACGAUUGACGGAGCGAAGCGACGUCAAAGCGUUCAUUAAAGUCGAGUUGGCUUAGGGAUACGUUCGUUGGGUAGGGGAGCGUUCUGUAAGCCUGUGAAGGUGUGUCGUGAGGCAUGCUGGAGGUAUCAGAAGUGCGAAUGCUGACAUAAGUAACGAUAAAGCGGGUGAAAAGCCCGCUCGCCGGAAGACCAAGGGUUCCUGUCCAACGUUAAUCGGGGCAGGGUGAGUCGACCCCUAAGGCGAGGCCGAAAGGCGUAGUCGAUGGGAAACGGGUUAAUAUUCCCGUACUUGGUGUUACUGCGAAGGGGGGACGGAGAAGGCUAUGUUGGCCGGGCGACGGUUGUCCCGGUUUAAGCGUGUAGGUGUGUGUUCCAGGUAAAUCCGGUUCACUUUAACACUGAGGCGUGA
rnacentral:rRNA from 1 species